CACUUCUAUUAAAAACUAGCAAACCCUACCUCCUCUUCUCCCCUUCUCCCGACGGCGCCACCAUGCCACCUCCGCCCUCAACCCUAGCCGUAUCGCGCCCUCGCCCUGCCUCCAGCCCCGCGCAGUAUGCUGUUCGCUCGUCGUUGGGCGACUAUCCCGGCUCGUUCUUCCUCUCGUCUCGCACAGAUGGCGGCGCUGCAUGCGAUCUCCAUCGCCGCGGCCCCUCCACCGAUCGCCUUCCGCGAGACAUCAUCACCAGCAACCUCCGCUGGGGUAAGUUCACCUCUUUCCACGGGACAUCAUCACCACCAACCUUGUGUUGCUGCUGGUGACACCCACCCUUUGCUCGACCGCUCCCUUCCCCACCUGCGUGCUACUGCUGACACCUUCUCCCCACAAAUCCACGCGGGGGCACUGCUUGAUGUUUGAUCUAUCCGCCUUGCCACUUCUGGCGCUGUUCCUAGCCGCUUGCACUGCGUGUGAACCAAGGACACGGACGACCGGGUGUGGACCGAUGACGCCCUGCCGGACAACCUCGCCUUGGCGGCCUCCGCCUCUAGCUAGGAUCCCCCUUCUGUCGCCAUCCUGCACCACGGCGUCACCAAAUUCGGAUCAGAUCUGCUUCGUAUUUCUCUUUUGUACUUUACUUGCUUCCAGAUCCCUGCACGGCUGCACCACACGCUUCUUCUAUUAACAGAAGAUGAGUGUGAAACCUAGCAAGAGUGUUAUUAUAGGAUAUACGAUUCAGGCAUCUCUUUGUUUGCAUUGCUACUGUAGGAUUCAAUGGGUUGUUUACGUGUCUGCAGAUUUGGGACGAGAGGGACCCUCACUCUUUACUCUUUUACUGUAGGAUUCAAUGGGUUGUUUUCUCUGUUGUAAGCUUCAAUUCGUUUGGUUUGAUUGGCAGGUGUGAGGUGCUAUGAGCAUGUGACUCUAAAUCUACUAGUCCUAGAAUGGAUUACAGUUGUCAGGAAUUUUUGUUGGGACUGUGAUAUAAAAAAGUUGAAACUUUCAUACUUACCUGCCGAGAAUGCAUUGUUGAAGUUGCAAAGAUGUAUGUCUAAGUUUAUUUUCACAUAAUAGUAUAUUUUUUCUAUUAUCAAGAAUUGUUUCUCAAUACAUUCAUGAGUUGGAAAUUGUAUUGUGAGCCUUUCUAUAUUAUCUAGUCUAGCUAGCUCUACAAUAGAGCUCUAGUACAGACAGAACACAUGCUUUCAUACUCCUAUGGAAUAGUAGAAUCAGGUAGUAGAAUUAGGUGUUCAUUAACCAUGCAAAUAAUUAAUUCAAGUUAUCUAAAUAGGCCCUUAGUUUAUACUGCUGAAAGUAUAAAAAGUGUUCCACUCUCAAUACCGAGAAUAGGAAGACUCCACCAUGUAUAUGUGUUCUUAUCAGGUGCUCUUCUUUCCCGAUAAAAUAAAAAUCCUUUGCUUCAAUCUGCUACAUGAUACUUUGUGUAUAGAUAAAGGAAUACAUCCAUAUGAUGUUCCUGGGAGUUAGUUUGAUGUCAAUAUACUCCAUGCUUGCUGAUUGGAAAGGAAACUAGUUAUUUCGUUUGAAGUCAUAUGCUGCUUGGCGUCAUUCUAAUCCAAGUAGCUGAGGGGUCAACAGUGGCUAACUUCCCUGUCACUUUAUUCCAAAGAGCAAAAGGGAAUCCCACCCUAGCUGUGAUAUUUUCCCUGGAUUAUGGUUGUCCAGGAAUCCUACAUGGAGUGGAAUUUAUCUCCGGGUUAAUUAACCUUGGUUGCCAAACUAGCCCUCAAUGUGCGGGACAAGAAGGGAAAUACUGCUUUGCACAUAGCUACACGGAAAUGGAGGCCCCAGGGAUCUGGAAUAACAGGAGCCUGAUGGUUGCAUCAGUAGAGUUGACCACUUCUCAGUAUUGCGAGAUGCAUCUUACAUGGUCAAGAAGAUAAUUCCUAUUCUGAGCUACUUGCUCGUGUACAAGUCUCCUUAUCAUGUCCUCCUUUCAAGCCAGUCUAUUCUUUGCUUGAUUCAUCACGGGUGCACAUUAUUGUAAUUAGAAUCUUCAGAGUACUCGAAGGAUAGUUAAAGCUGUUUGGCUAGUCCUUCAGAUUACUGAAAAUAUAGUUAAGAACAUUUGUAUUUUGCUAUUUCGAUUUCCAACAGUACAACUAUUGGGGAUGAUUGUUUAUGUGAUGUGGAUCUAUCAUUGUGCAAUACUAAUUAAAUUUGUAUAUC